CUUCCAACUCUAACAAAUUCCCGGGGAAAUUUGUCCAGCUGUUCAUAUGCCAGUCUCCCAUCUUCACCUGGAUGCAAAAUGUUAACGCAUAAUAAUGUAUUAUGUCAUUGCCCUACAACAUUUAAAAUACUGGAUUCUCUGCUGUUAGGAAGUACUGUUCAGACACUAACUUCUUCCCCUUAAAAUUCCUCUUGCUGAAGGCAACUUCAGAAAUUAAAUGGAAAAGUUAAGCAUGCUCUGAAUAUUCAAAUUAUUUUAUUUUCACAUGUAAUUUCCUGGUUUUAUCUACAGCAAAGCAGACGUAGAGAUGUGACUUGUAUGAUUAGAUGACAGUAUCUGUACCCUUGGCUUACUAAAUGACCUGUGGUACUUGUCAAGAUCUCAGUUGCAGCUGUGAUAUACUUGAGGGAGAUGAUGUUUAUCUACUUCUACUUUGGACAGUAUAAAGCUUACCCAAUUCUCACUUCCUAACACUUUAAAUAAGUGAGUCUAGCCACUUCUUCACUUUUACCACUGAAAACCAAGAAGCAGUCUAUUUGCUAAAUUUAACUAUUUGUGUCUCUCAAACCCUUUUCUCUUAGGCACUGUCAUCUCUGUGUACCUCAAGAUAGAAUUGAGCCUAGUGUGCUGAGCUGGCCAUUAGGAACCAAAAUGCUCUCUCUGUUUUGUCUACAGAUCUCCCAGAGAUUUCAGAAGUGUCCCUGCGCUAGUUGUUUUAUAAAGUGAGCACUGACACGUCCAACAGCAGAGUGAAUUCCUGCUGAACUGUAGUUGGUACCUGUUUCUGCAAGUCCUGGACACUCCUCAUUCACAGUGGUGGCAAAAUUGGUAUCCAGCUGCUUCAUCAUCUUGUCUGCAGAUGUGUGAUACACUCCUGAAGGGCCAGUACACUUCAUCCAGAAAGCCAGCAAUGAUAGCUUCUUGUGGAACUCUGGAAUUGCUGGAGGAGAAGGCAAUAUGAACAAUGAAACAAAGCAAUGCUAGAAGCAUCAACUUCCAGAAGAGAAAAGAUGCAGGAUGUGAGAAAACUUGCUCCUGAUCCAGCUCUGGGCAUUCACGUCUCUUCCUUUUAAAUACCACAAAACACUAGGGAAAUACCACAAAUGUUCUGCACAAGACUGGUCCCUUCCUAGCACUGCUUUGUGGCCUUGGGUAAGUCACUCAACCUUGCCUCAAUUUUCUGAUAAACAAAGUAAAUACACCAUGUUGUGUUUAUGUAUCAUGGCAGAAUGCUCACAAGGGUAACUAUGUGCUUGUCAAAUACUUCCAAGGUAUUAAAAUAGAUGCAUCAACAGGAAAAAUAACUAAAUAAUUCUCCAUAAAGAUGGCAAAAUAAAAUUGAUAAAAUGUUCAAGAAGUUGUAUUAUGCCUCUCAUAGUUAUAAGGCAGAUCCUGUCUUCCCUUGGGAAAGAGGAAAGAGAGGUGGAGGAAGAAUUUGGCUCUUCAGAGGUGGCAGCAUCCCCACUCUAUCACAGUGGUGGUGGACCUCUGUCCGUAUUCUACACAAGCAGGAUAAGAAGUCCUUUCUCUUCUCAGUUGCUUGGUUUUGGAUACCAGAGCUGAAGAUGGUAUAAGGUCCCUGACCUGCUGUGGCGACUGCUACAUCUGCUGGUAAGUCAUGAGUUGGCCCUUAUUACGGUGACAUCUCCUCCAGUGAUGGUGAGCUCUGCACAGCGCUCAUUUCAGCAGGCAUGCAUGCCCAAACAAACCAUUUUCAGAAGGACACCCCCUAAAUUGUCUCUUACCAUCAGUAAGGGAGGUGAUGUUUCCCAAGUUCUCACUGCUGAUCUCCGCGAUAUUCUCCAUCACGAGGAUCUGCCUGGACAGCUUAUCCAGGAGGUCUCUUGCCACAAAAGGUGUUUUACUGGAGAACACAAUUUGCUGGUGGAGACAAAUGGGGAGAGAGGAGAAGGAGUCAACCUCAGAAGAAAAAACAACUGGCAACUGAAGUGCAAUAGCAAGUUUACUGCCCUGGAACCAUGGCGUCUCCUUAACUUUGAACGUUAUUUUUCUCUGGGAUAUUGUAUGGUCAUGGCUGAUAUGCAUUCUUGCUUAUAUCUCGUAUAACACCUACAUCCAGACCCAGACACUUGAUUAUCCAGGCAGCCAUUUGCAUAUGUAAUUUCUGAUUUACGCACUCUGCAAAGCUAAAGGAAUCUAUCAUCAUAAGCCUUAAAGCCAGAACAGAAUAUUAAUCUGACUUUCACAUAAUAUAUGCUGUGGACUUACCUGCCUGGGGGCACACCAAUGGUUGCUCUUUCUCCACUCCAUUUCAGCUCUGAUGAACUACUCGGGUGCCUUUAUUAAUUUGGUGCUUUCUCCCUGCUGCUGACAUCUUCACGUCAUUGUUCAGCAGUCCACAUAAAUAUUGUUCAUGUCCAAUCUGCUCCAUGUGUGGACAAUAGCUUGAGCUCACCUCCCCUAGCUGAAUAUGUACUGUGUACUCUUGUAUUUAAACCAAAACCCUCCCUUUUUCUCAUACUUGUGAGUCAGCAGUGUCCAGCUCAGCACUAAAGGUAAUGGAAUUUGGCUUGCUCUCUAUUGCUUCAGUGGGCCUCUGGGAAAAUAAAGCUAAUUAUAUCUACGCUGGAAGAGCCAAAUAAUCACAAAGGGGAAGUUGCAGUAUGUUUUGAUUCCCAGGGAAACCCUGAAGCCCUUGCUUGCUGGAGGUUUAAAAUCACAUUUCCUGUGCUCAGGUUCCGAAAAAAGAACGGCUCUAAAACGUUGUGCUAGUUAGCUGUGAGCAUGAACAGACAAUUUUGAUGUCUGCCAUGUGUCAGGGGGUUGUCAUGUGCUGCCUUCACUGCGUCUGUUGCAGACAGUCCACCUCACUUGCACAAAUUCAUUUCUG